UAUCUCUGUAGAGUCUGCAUAUCAAUAAGCGGAGGAAAAGAAACUAACUAGGAUUCCCUCAGUAACGGCGAGUGAAGCGGGAAGAGCUCAAAUUUGAAAUCUUCAAGGUUCUACCUUGACGAAUUGUAGUUUAAAGAAGUGUUUUCUGUUGGAGUUUUGGUAAAAGUUCUUUGGAAUAGGACAUCAUAGAGGGUGAGAAUCCCGUAUUUGACCAUUAUUUCCAACUUUGUGAUACACUUUCAAAGAGUCGGAUUGUUUGGGAAUGCAGUCCAAAAUGGGUGGUAAAUUUCAUCUAAAGCUAAAUACUGGCGAGAGACCGAUAGCGAACAAGUACCGUGAGGGAAAGAUGAAAAGAACUUUGAAAAGAGAGUUAAACAGUACGUGAAAUUGUCAAAAGGGAAGCGUUUGACACCAGUGUUGUUUUCUCGAAAAUCAAUUAAAAAUGGCUGGAUUUUGUGUUGUAUUGACCUUAUAAGCUUUCUGCACUUUUUUCUAUGUCCUUUUUAAUGCACUUUUCGUUUAACAAGUCAACAUCAAUUUCUUUUGUUGUAAAAAGGUCAUUGGAAGGUGGCUUUCUUUUCGGAGAAAGUGUUUAUAGCCUUUGACUCCUGCAAUCGGAGAGACUGAGGUCUGCAGCGUAGAUCCUUCUUGGAUUAGAUUCAUUUGUGCUAAGUUAUAGCUUUUUAUAGACAACUUGUUGACUAUAUUUAGUCUUGUAGCUUACUCGCUUAUGCAAUUUUACCUACGCUUAGGAUGUUGAACGCGCACAGAGUCUC
rnacentral:rRNA from 1 species